rnacentral:rRNA from 1 species
AUGGGGAGUUCCCGGAGCAAGCCGGUGCGGGAGCAGCAGCCGGCGGCACCGCCAAAGCCGAAGCAGAUGCCGGAGCCGGAGCCGAAGCCGACGCCGACGCCAAGGCCGAAGAAGAAGCAUGACCCGAAGGUGGAGGUGCCGCCCCUCAUCGACCCCCCGCCCAACGCCGCCCGCACCAGGAUGCUCGUGCCAGGGUACGAGCUGUGGUUCGGGAAGCCCUCGCUGCGCGCCCUGUUCGAUGACUACUUCAAUCAAGCUGGGAGCGUAAACGCAGGGGUCAUGCUCAAGAUGGUGGAGGAUCCUCAUGUCAAUCUGACCGCAGCUGCGUCACCAGCUGGCGGGGAGGCUCAGCUUCGAUGGCAGAGUGAUUUGGAUAAUCCAGAUACCUUUGUGCACUUUCUUGUGUCAACGCCGAAAUCCACUUUGAAGCUCAGAUCGAGUGCACAUUCUCCUAAAUAUGGUAUUGGUGCCUUUUAUGCAAUGCCUUUGCAUUUUGGAAACAGCACUUGUUCAGAAGACAGUGGUGUCAUGGGUUUGAGAUAUGAUUCGAAGAAUCUAUCACUGGGGGCAUCUUUUGUGCCAUCUCUCUUAUCUGGUGGGGUACCCUCUGUCUCUGUGGUACCCUAUGGUGCAUGGUUGGUUGGGAGAAUAGGUGGAUUGAGUGCAGGGGCUCAAUGCAAGCCGCUUAGUACUGCUGGAAACAAGUCUUUUCCUUUUGAGGACUUGAAGAACUGGGAUUGCGGAAUCAGUUAUGGUGUGGGUUCAGAUAGUCCACUCAGCCCUUCACUCAAUUUCUCUCUAGAGCUUCUCAGAAGCACACAGCUGGUCGCGUCAUUCUAUCAGCACCAGGUUGUCCAAAGGCAGGUAUACUCUGUGAUUCCUACAGAAGCAACCAAAAUUACAAACUACAUAGAUUUUGGGCUUGAGCUAGCCACAAGGGUGGGUAAGGACGAACCAACAGAUGAUGCCGACAAUUCCUCGUUUCAGAUAGCUGCAAACUGGCAGGCUAAUAAGAACUUACUACUAAAGGGAAAGUUAGGUCCCUCAAAAUCUUCUUUAGCUUUGGCAUUCAAGUCUUGGUGGAAACCCUCGUUUACAUUCAGCUUCACAGCUGCAAAUGAUCAUUCGAAAGGUACUACCGCGUACGGAUUCAGAAUCCAUGUCGACGAUCUAAGAGAGCAAGUUUCCGAAACCCAGCUCCAGUAG